AAUUUUCUGGUAUUUUAUUUAUUACUGUUUUCUUAACUGCACCGGUGCAACAGAGAUUCUACACUCUUAAAAAUGCUGGGGUUUUUUCAUAACUCGACGGCUGGGUUAAAGCUGCAGGUUCGUAAGUUGGGUUAUUGUGACCAAAUAUUGGUUGAGAAAUCAUGACUCAGGAGUUGGGUUGGUAAUGUGCCAGGUUCUUCAAUUCACUCCACAGCUUGACUAAUUCUGUUGAGUCAUAGGUUGGACAGCUUUGAUAAAAUAUUGAGUCAAAAUUUUACCCAAUUGUUUGGGUUGAAGAUAAGCCUCAGAAGAAGCCACAUCAUUCUUCACAAACUGCCAUUUUCAACUAGACUGUGAUCUGAUCAGAUAUCACUGGACUUCUCCACUACUAUGAAAUAAAACAUGGGAAGUAAAAAGUGAAUUCUAACACUUUGAAAAUCAUGCUUACUUAUCUUUAUUUUUUGUAACUUAUAUCUAUGUACAUUCACUUUAAUGAAAAUUAAAAAUGAGAAACGUUAUCCCUGCUAACUUUUGAGUAUUGUGAUGGACCGAGCAGUAAAGGAACGUCAGGCACAGGUUAAAGUACAAAAAUUUUUUUUUUUAUUUGACCCUAAAACACACUUGGUUAAAUUAUACAGAGAAUUCAAAAUCUUGGGCCCAUAAAAGAGGUCAAAGUAACAGAACUCUUCUCAGAAGCUGGCAACAAACAACACUGCUAACUGAAACAAACUAACAUACCUAAAUUAGACAAAGGGGAAACUUAAACAGUGUCUGAUCAGCCAACAAAAACAAAACACAGAAAGGCAUAGAACACACAAACCCAACUAAAACUAACAUAACAAAUUCCAUUUCCCCCCAUGGUCCAGAACUGUGGUAUGACCCAAUUUGCAGGUCUCCACAUAUGCUUGCUCCGCCCCUUUUAGCUCAUCAACCAAGGGACUAGGAGCAGCUGCCACUGAGCCCAACUUCAGGAAUAAAGGCAAUUUUGGCCUCAUCAAUAGUGGAUCAGUUUCCAUGUUAAAAGAACUGCCAUGGCACAGGAAUGAUAUGUGGUUCAGCCCUUGCAGAACUCAUAGGCCAGCAACUGUACAGGGAGUGCAGAAUUAUUAGGCAAAUGAGUAUUUUGUCCACAUCAUCCUCUUCAUGCAUGUUGUCUUACUCCAAGC